rnacentral:rRNA from 1 species
AUGGCGUCUACUGAGAGUAACUAUCACAAUAGAGGUACUUAUUUUGAUGGUACAUAUUUUGCUAGUUGGAAGCAUAAGAUGAAAAUGCAUAUUCUUGGUCAUAACCCCGCCGUUUGGGCUGUUGUUCGUAUUGGCUUGCAAGGUGAAUUCUUUGAGGAUGGUAGAGAACCGGAUCGUGAAGCGACCGUGGAAGAAUUGAAGAUGUUGCAAUACAAUGCUCAAGCUUGUGAUGUUCUCUUCAAUGGAUUAUGCCCCGAGGAAUUCAACAAAAUCAGCCGCCUUGAGAAUGCAAAGGAAAUUUGGUAUACUUUGGUUGAUAUGCACGAAGGUACCGAAUCCGUCAAAGAUCCAAGUUGGAUGUGCUUCAAAGUCAACUUGACAAGUUCAAGAUGA